AUUGAACGCUGGCGGCAUGCCUAACACAUGCAAGUCGAACGGUAACAGGCCCUUCGGGGUGCUGACGAGUGGCGGAUGGGUGAGUAAUACUUAGGAAUCUACCCUGUAGUGGGGGACAACCCGGGGAAACUCGGGCUAAUACCGCAUACGCUCUACGGAGGAAAGCGGGGGACCGCAAGGCCUCGCGCUAUUGGAUGAGCCUAAGCCCGAUUAGCUAGUUGGUGGGGUAAUAGCCUACCAAGGCAAUGAUCGGUAGCUGGUCUGAGAGGACGACCAGCCACACUGGGACUGAGACACGGCCCAGACUCCUACGGGAGGCAGCAGUGGGGAAUAUUGGACAAUGGGCGAAAGCCUGAUCCAGCGAUGCCGCGUGUGUGAAGAAGGCCUGCGGGUUGUAAAGCACUUUC
rnacentral:rRNA from 1 species